AGGGUAAUAGCUCAGUGAUAGAGUGUGUGCUUGGCAUGCACGAGGUCCUGGGUCCAACACUCAGUACCUCCG
rnacentral:tRNA from 1 species